AUUGAACGCUGGCGGCCGGCCUAACACAUGCAAGUCGAACGAGUGGCGGACGGGUGAGUAAUGUCUGGGAAACUGCCCGAUGGAGGGGGAUAACUACUGGAAACGGUAGCUAAUACCGCAUACCAUCGGAUGUGCCCAGAUGUGAUUCGCUAGUAGGUGGGGUAAAGGGUCACCUAGGCGACGAUCCCUAGCUGGUCUGAGAGGAUGACCAGCCACACUGGAACUGAGACACGGUCCAGACUCCUACGGGAGUAAGCAGUGGGGAAUAUUGCACAAUGGGAGCAAGCCUGAUGCAGCCAUGCCGCGUGGAGGAAGAAGGCCGUCGGGUUGUAAAGUACUUUCAGCGGGGAGGCGUUACCCGCAGAAGAAGCACCGGCUAACUACGUGCCAGCCGCCGCGGUAAUUC
rnacentral:rRNA from 1 species